AGAACGAACGCUGGCGGCAUGCCUAACACAUGCAAGUCGAACGAGACCUUCGGGUCUAGUGGCGCACGGGUGCGUAACGCGUGGGAAUCUGCCCUUGGGUUCGGAAUAACAGUUGGAAACGACUGCUAAUACCGGAUGAUGACGUAAGUCCAAAGAUUUAUCGCCCAGGGAUGAGCCCGCGUAGGAUUAGCUAGUUGGUGAGGUAAAGGCUCACCAAGGCGACGAUCCUUAGCUGGUCUGAGAGGAUGAUCAGCCACACUGGGACUGAGACACGGCCCAGACUCCUACGGGAGGCAGCAGUGGGGAAUAUUGGGACAAGUGGGCGAAAGCCUGAUCCAGCAAUGCCGCGUGAGUGAUGAAGGCCGUUAGGUUGUAAAGCUCGUUUACCCGGGAAGAUAAGUGACUGUACCGGAGAAGUAAGCUCCGGCUAACUCCGUCGCCAGCAGGCCCGC
rnacentral:rRNA from 1 species